UACGAAGGGGGCUAGCGUUGCUCGGAAUCACUGGGCGUAAAGCGCACGUAGGCGGAUUGCUAAGUCAGGGGUGAAAUCCUGGAGCUCAACUCCAGAACUGCCUUUGAUACUGGCGAUCUCGAGUCCGGGAGAGGUGAGUGGAACUGCGAGUGUAGAGGUGAAAUUCGUAGAUAUUGGGAAGAACACCGGUGGCGAAGGCGGCUCACUGGACCGAUACUGACGCUGAGG
rnacentral:rRNA from 1 species